rnacentral:rRNA from 1 species
AUUGAACGCUGGCGGCAUGCCUUACACAUGCAAGUCGAACGGCAGCACGGGAGUAAUCCUGGUGGCGAGUGGCGAACGGGUGAGUACUAUAUCGGAACGUGCCCAGUCGUGGGGGAUAACGCAGCGAAAGCUGUGCUAAUACCGCAUACGAUCUAAGGAUGAAAGCGGGGGAUCGCAAGACCUCGCGCGAUUGGAGCGGCCGAUAUCAGAUUAGCUAGUUGGUGGGGUAAAGGCCCACCAAGGCGACGACCUGUAGCGGGUCUGAGAGGACGACCAGCCACACUGGAACUGAGACACGGUCCAGACUCCUACGGGAGGCAGCAGUGGGGAAUUUUGGACAAUGGGCGCAAGCCUGAUCCAGCAAUGCCGCGUGCAGGAUGAAGGCCUUCGGGUUGUAAACUGCUUUUGUACGGAACGAAACGGCCCUUUCUAAUACAGGGGGCUAAUGACGGUACCGUAAGAAUAAGCACCGUCUAACUACGUGCCAGCAGCCGCGGUAAUAC